rnacentral:rRNA from 1 species
CUCCGGUUGAUCCCGCCGGACCUGACUGCUAUCGGAUUGGUACUAAGCCAUGCGAGUCAUUGUAGCAAUACAAGGCGGACGGCUCAGUAACACGUAGUCAACCUAACUCGUGGACGUGGAUAACCUCGGGAAACUGAGAAUAAACCACGAUAGAUCAUAGUGCCUGGAAUGGCUUAUGGUCCAAACAGUUUACUGCCAUGGGAUGGGACUGCGGCCUAUCAGCUUGUUGGUGAGGUAAUGGCCCACCAAGGCGAUUACAGGUACGGGCUCUGAGAGGAGAAGCCCGGAGAUGGGUACUGAGACACGGACCCAGGCCCUAUGGGGCGCAGCAGGCGAGAAACCUUAGCAAUGUGCGAAAGCACGACUGGGUCAGUCCGAGUGAUUCCUGAUAAAGGAGUCUUUUGCUUGUCCUAAAAGCACAGGUGAAUAAGGGGUGGGCAAGUCUGGUGUCAGCCGCCGCGGUAAUACCAGCACCUCGAGUGGUCAGGACGUUUAUUGGGCCUAAAGCAUCCGUAGCCGGCUUUGCAAGUCUUCGGUUAAAUCCACCUGCUCAACAGAUGGGCUGCUGGAGAUACUACAAAGCUAGGGAGUGGGAGAGGCAGACGGUAUUCAGUGGGUAGGGGUAAAAUCCUCUGAUCCAUUGAGGACCACCAGUGGCGAAGGCGGUCUGCCAGAACACGUUCGACGGUGAGGGAUGAAAGCUGGGGGAGCAAACCGGAUUAGAUACCCGGGUAGUCCCAGCUGUAAACGAUGCAAACUCGGUGAUGCAUUGGCUUAUGGCCAAUGCAGUGCCGCAGGGAAGCCGUUAAGUUUGCCGCCUGGGAAGUACGGACGCAAGUCUGAAACUUAAAGGAAUUGGCGGGGGAGCA